rnacentral:rRNA from 1 species
GAUCAUGGCUCGGGAUGAACGCUAGCUACAGGCUUAACACAUGCAAGUCGAGGGGCAGCAUGUUGGUUGCUUGCAACCGAUGAUGGCGACCGGCGCACGGGUGAGUAACGCGUAUCCAACCUACCCUUGUCCAUCGGAUAACCCGUCGAAAGGCGGCCUAACACGAUAUGCGGUUCACAGCAGGCAUCUAACGUGAACGAAAUGCGAAUGAGAAGGAUGGGGAUGCGU